AAUUGCUUCUUUGAACUCAUCUUUGGUAUCAAAUCUGGCUCCUAACACCCACUUAAAAUUAGUCAUCUUUUUAGGCAUGACAAAUGGUGGAUAAUGCUUUUUGUUGCUAUCAUCUGAAUCAUCACCAUCAUCCUCUAAAAGGACUUGAUUGAAACGAUUCAAAAACUAAAAGGACUUGUUUGAGACUUUUGAAACUUAAAGGAC
rnacentral:lncRNA from 1 species